rnacentral:rRNA from 1 species
CCUACGGGAGGCUGCAGUGAGGAAUAUUGGUCAAUGGACGAGAGUCUGAACCAGCCAAGUAGCGUGAAGGAUGACUGCCCUAUGGGUUGUAAACUUCUUUUAUAAAGGAAUAAAACGAGGCACGUGUGCCUUUUUGCAUGUACUUCAUGAAUAAGGAUCGGCUAAUUCCGUGCCAGCAGCCGCGGUAAUACGGAGGAUCCGAGCGUUAUCCGGAUUUAUUGGGUUUAAAGGGAGCGUAGAGGGGUGGUUAAGUCAGUUGUGAAAGUUUGCGGCUCAACCGUAGAACUGCAGUUGAUACUGGCAGUCUUGAGUGCAGUUGAGGUAGGCGGAAUUCGUGGUGUAGCGGUGAAAUGCUUAGAUAUCACGAAGAACCCCGAUUGCGAAGGCAGCUUACUGAAGUGUGACUGACAUUGAUGCUCGAAAGUGUGGGUAUCGAACAGGAUUAGAUACCCUAGUAGUC